rnacentral:rRNA from 1 species
AACGAACGCUGGCGGCAGGCCUAACACAUGCAAGUCGAACGCCGUAGCAAUACGGAGUGGCAGACGGGUGAGUAACGCGUGGGAACCUUCCCAAUGGUACGGAAUAACUCGCCGAAAGGCGUGCUAAUACCGUAUAAGCCCGCAAGGGGAAAGAUUUAUCGCCAUUGGAUGGGCCCGCGUCGGAUUAGCUAGUUGGUGAGGUAAUGGCUCACCAAGGCGACGAUCCGUAGCUGGUCUGAGAGGAUGAUCAGCCACACUGGGACUGAGACACGGCCCAGACUCCUACGGGAGGCAGCAGUGGGGAAUAUUGGACAAUGGGCGAAAGCCUGAUCCAGCCAUGCCGCGUGAGUGACGAAGGCCUUAGGGUUGUAAAGCUCUUUUGGCGGGGACGAUAAUGACGGUACCCGCAGAAUAAGCCCCGGCUAACUUCGUGCCAGCCGCCGCAGUAACAC